rnacentral:rRNA from 1 species
AUUGAACGCUGGCGGCAUGCCUUACACAUGCAAGUCGAACGGCAGCGGACCUUCGGGUGCCGGCGAGUGGCGAACGGGUGAGUAAUAUAUCGGAACGUACCUUUCAGUGGGGGAUAACGUAGCGAAAGUUACGCUAAUACCGCAUAUUCUGUGAGCAGGAAAGCAGGGGAUCGCAAGACCUUGCGCUGACUGAGCGGCCGAUAUCAGAUUAGCUAGUUGGUGAGGUAAAGGCUCACCAAGGCGACGAUCUGUAGCGGGUCUGAGAGGAUGAUCCGCCACACUGGAACUGAGACACGGUCCAGACUCCUACGGGAGGCAGCAGUGGGGAAUUUUGGACAAUGGGCGCAAGCCUGAUCCAGCCAUGCCGCGUGAGUGAAGAAGGCC